UACGUAGGGCGCAAGCGUUGUCCGGAAUUAUUGGGCGUAAAGAGCUCGUAGGCGGCCUGUCACGUCCGCUGUGAAAUCCCGGGGCUCAACCCCGGGCCUGCAGUGGAUACGGGCUGGCUGGAGGCAGGCAGGGGAGAACGGAAUUCCUGGUGUAGCGGUGAAAUGCGCAGAUAUCAGGAGGAACACCGGUGGCGAAGGCGGUUCUCUGGGCCUGUACUGACGCUGAGGCGCGAAGGCGUGGGGAGCAAACAGG
rnacentral:rRNA from 1 species